GUCCUUAAAUUAUAGGCUCUCCUGCAGUUUCAAAAAGCUAAUUCACACUACUGUGUGCAUUAGAAAGGUGGUAUAUAUGAUAUUCCACUAAGGGAAACCCUAGGAACAUUAAACUCCUACUAGUAACUGGUCACGAGUCAGGGCUAGAACUGACACUAGUCAUUUUUCUUCACUGACAAGUUUUCAUUAUGUGGCUUUCCCAGAACAAUUUAGAAAUUGAUCUGCAACUGAUGGAAGCUGGGAUGAAUUGGGCGCAUAAGUGAACCCAAAGCAUCAGAGCAAAGUCAAAGCGAACAUCUGGCUCCAGCUUUGAGUACAAGGAAAGAUGAUCUGUUCUUCCUCUGACACAGAAAGGAAGGAAGAAAGAACAUGCUGGAAGCAGAGCAAAGAAGAGAGACUUGUGUUUCCAUGGAAUAAUCUUGGGAUCCAUGUGGAGUGCAAGAGAUUGGAACAGAAGGAGUUCUCAAAAAAUAAAAACUUCGGGCGGGUGCGGUGGCUCACGCCUGUAAUCCCAGGACUUUGGGAGGCCGAGG
rnacentral:lncRNA from 1 species